rnacentral:rRNA from 1 species
AGCACGAAGAAUCACGUAUCAUAGACCCGAAACCGGGUGAUCUAUCCAUGUCCAGGAUGAAGCUGCCGUAAGAGGUAGUGGAGGUCCGAACACACAUCCGUUGAAAAGGGUGGUGAUGAGGUGUGGAUAGGGGAGAAAUUCCAAUCGAACCCGGAGAUAGCUGGUUCUCCUCGAAAUAGCUUUAGGGCUAGCCUUCAGUUAGUCUGCCGCAGGUAGAGCACUGAAUUUCCUAGGGGGCGUCAAAGCCUACCGAAGAAUAUCAAACUGCGAAUGGCGGACAGAUGAUGCUGGGGAGUCAGACUGCACGAGAUAAGUUGGGUGGUCAAAAGGGAAAGAGCCCAGACCUACAGCUAAGGUCCCAAAGUGCGUGUUAAGUGGAAAAGGAUGUGGGAUUUCGAAGACAACUAGGAUGUUGGCUCAGAAGCAGCCAUACAUUAAAAGAGUGCGUAAUAGCUCACUAGUCGAGAGGUCCUGCGCCGAAAAUGUCCGGGGCUGAAACACGACACCGAAGCUUAGGAACAGAAAUGUUGGUAGAGGAGCAUUGUUAGCGGAACGAAGCCAUACCGGAAGGAGUGGUGGACUGCUAAGAAGAGAGAAUGCCGGAAUGAGUAGCGAGAAUGAAGUGAGAAUCUUCAUGGCCGAAUAUCUAAGGUUUCCAGGGUAAAGCUGAUCUGCCCUGGGUAAGUCGGGGCCUAAGGCGAGGUCGAAAGACGUAGCCGAUGGACAACAGGUUGAAAUUCCUGUACUGCGAUAUAUCAGAAAUGUGGGGACACAGAAGGAAAGUGUGAGCCGGGAAAGGAAAGACCGGUGCAAGCACAGGAGGAGAGAUGCAGGCAAAUCCGCAUCCCAAUCCAAAGGUGUGACGCGGAGCGAACAAAAGUAGCGAAGCACAUGGACCAUCUGUCGAGAAAAGCCGCUAUUGUGUAUAUUGUACCCGUACCGUAAACCGACACAGGUGGAUGAGGAGAGAAUCCUAAGGCCGGCGGGAGAAGCAUUGUUAAGGAACUCGGCAAAAUGACCCCGUAACUUCGGGAGAAGGGGUGCUCACGCAAGUGAGCCGCAGAGAACUGGCCCAAGCAACUGUUUAGCAAAAACACAGGUCUAUGCAAAACCGAAAGGUGAGGUAUAUGGGCUGACGCCUGCCCGGUGCUGGAAGGUUAAGAGGAGAUGUUAGAGCAAUCGAAGCAUUGAAUUUAAGCCCCAGUAAACGGCGGCCGUAACUAUAACGGUCCUAAGGUAGCGAAAUUCCUUGUCGGGUAAGUUCCGACCCGCACGAAAGGCGUAAUGAUUUGGGCACUGUCUCGACAAUGCACCCGGUGAAAUUGAAAUACCAGUGAAGAUGCUGGUUACCUGCGCCAGGACGGAAAGACCCCAUGGAGCUUUACUCUAGCUUGAUACUGGGAUUCGGUAUUGCAUGUAC